rnacentral:rRNA from 1 species
CUGCACGACACGUCCAUGUUACUAUGUGGUGCGUAUGAAUCUCGUAGAUGUCGGGCCGCAGAGUUUGCAGACCCUCCUGUUGGGCUAGUGACUGGCCAGUUUUUUUCGGUUGGCUCAGCCCGAAGAGAACGGGGGCCCUCGGGGGGCUCUCCGACCGCCACCUCGCGGUGUUGCUGCUGGAGACGACCUCGGCACGGUGGCAGUGGAGGGCGGUAGGUGCGGCCACACUCGUUGGGUCAUCGCCAGCGGGCGCUCCUCCUCGCACCAACGCAGGAGGAGGCCAAUCUCGAGGAGGGGCACCAGCGCUAAACCUACUCCUUAUCUUAACUCGUCUGUAACCGACCCGUGCAGGUAAAGUAAACCCUCACAAGCGUGCAUCUGGUGAGGUCUCACUUGUAACCGACCCGAAAAAAAGCGCCAGAGGGAGGACCCAGCGAGCGCGCCGCCGAGGCCUCCCCUUUGGGAUCGGCGGAGCUCGCGGGGAGGAGAGGGACUAGAGACCGGCGGCCGGCGCCGCCGCCACCACCGCCGCGGGCCGGCAGUUUCCGCCGCCCGCUCCCGCGCGGGGCUGCCCUAAAGAAGCGCGCCCCCUCAGAGCAGUUAGCCCGCGCGCCACCAGCAGAGGCCACGCCGCCGCGUGCCGCCUCUCGCGCUCCUACCCGCUUCGUACCAGUUCUCCGUUUCCCUCCGCAGAAGAGCCGCGCGGCCGCACCCUCAGACUUCAACGGCGACGCUCUGGGAUCACCGCGCCUAGAGCUGGUCCUCCACGCCACCGACCCUCGCCGCCAGCCCUCAGCAACGCCUCCGGUCCCUCGCGCCACACGGAGGACACCAGCGGCUCCUCCACGCCACCGACCCUCGCCGCCAGCCCUCAGCAACGCCUCCGGUCCCUCGCGCCACACGGAGGACACCAGCGGCCGCACCAGCGCCUUCCGCCGCGGAAACUCCUCAACCGCCGCGAGCUUGGUCUAGACCCCAGAACCCGGUCACUGAGCGCCGUCCCUCGCGGUACCACCUCCACGCGACCUCAGGGCGCACUCAGGGAUCCUGCCUUAGCGCCGUCGCCGACCGACGGUCCUCGCAGUUCAGGUCGGGAACGGACGCCACGGACACCUAGAACCACCACGACCAGACCUCAACAGAAGAAGCUGGCACAUCCUCAACCUACCACCAGACGCACGAGAACCGGCACGCUCCCCAGCCACAAGGUGCUGCCAAACUAGUACUGUCGCUCCACGACGUCGACGCCGCCACGCGGGGAUGUAGCUGAUACGCCGGUUUAAGCCACCAUCCCCACCCUCUACACGCUGCCAAACCUACUUUUAGGACGAGCAGAAGCCAGCCUCGACUGCUGCUGCCGCGGGCACCCACAGCAAAGAGAGGAACCUCCGCAACAGUUCCUUUGAGCUGGGCAGCAGCCGACAAGAAGUAGUGUGUUUUCGUUCGAGCUUUGAAGAAGAUGAGCUGGGACUUUGAAGAGGCAGAUACCAUGAGAGCGGAGAGCCACAGAAUCCCUUCUGCCUGGGACUUCGUCUUCAUUUAGGGAGCUCUGUGAAGAAGACAAGCUGCUCGUGACUUAGGGAAAGACGAAGUCGGCUUGUUAUACGCAUACAAGAACGUCGAACCGGAACCAAAGCAUAACGAACGUCGUGUCAUACGUAGUCCUUAACACCAAGGAUCAAGUGUCACAGCUGCUGUCACACCUUUACAACUCUAUGGUAUGGGUAAACCAUAGCUAGGUCCGACGAGCGAGUGUGUCCCGAAGGUCGAGUCGACAUUCCAGGUUCUGCCGUAGGGUUUCGGUAAGUCCCCACGGAAACUCCACGAGCUGUAAAGAAACUGAGUUCCGUGUUGGGCCCACGACUUAAUGUAGAACCCGAUGACGAUAUUGUGGAGAUGGUCCUCGUACCUCAUAAAACCGGCCAUGCCCCCCAAGUUGCUUCCUCUGGGAAGAAGAGGGAUGGCCGAGAGGCUGUGGGUCUUGUCCAAGUGCCAGUAGCCCACGUCGCGGGAGCGGAACUAUAGACUGAUGCUACCGUGUCCAAUGGUCCCGAACCCUCAGCGUUGUACGGCGUUAAACAGUCUGAAUCACUUGCCUAGAACGAGUCCAUACCCGACGAGGGUCUGGUGUUAUGGUUUCUCCUACAUGAUGAUGCUGUGUUGAAAGAGCCGUAGCCAAUUGUGUUCAGUUUAGACCCUCAAGUUGGCGACGUCGAUACGCCAUGAUUACCUCCGUCGUCGUAAAUUCAAGUCGUGAUGCAUACAUUUGUGUUUGUUUAAGUUACUGUGUAUAUUACCUGCCCACGGAUACUAAGAACUCACCCGAUAUUCUCUACACUUCAGUACACUACGACGUUUUGUCUUAUGUUGACCAUGAAUGCGUACGGAGUCGCGGUUGUCGUUCACACACCUAAGGUGGUUACUGGUUCCCAUGUGGACGUUAACGUGGUUACCAAUACGUCCGUUGGGAAUAGAAGAUCUGCCUACGUUUCUACAAUUACUUACGUUGGUGUUAGGUACGGGAAGUCUACCGAUAACAGCGUUAUAACGACCUCUUAUGGCCACAAGAACAGCUCAACCGUUUUUUAUGCAGUGCCUUUCGUUAUGUACGUUGGGAUUGUAGCCGAAGUAUUAUCCUCAAUGUUACCCUAAUAAACCAAAUUACCAAUAGCAGUACUAGUGAUAAAAGACCCCUGUUUACUAUGAAGUUUUCUCUUUUAACUUAUUUCAAUUCGUUCUCAUAAAGGCGUUCGUACCUCCGCACGAAAACAAACUAUUCUACUUUAGCCUCUUUCCAGACCGAAAGUUACAUAAAAGUCUUCGUCUUGAGUAUGUACGGUGGCUGUUGAAACUGUCAUCGUCUUAUUAACCUUUUCCUCCGGUACCCUGACAGAUAUUUCCAUAUUAUUUCUUGUACAGCCAACGUUAAUUUUCUACACGUCAUCAACUGCUCUCUGUCUUCUUCCUUAAACCGGUCCUCUACGAGUAAAACAGGGUUUAGUUAGUGUUCUUACAACAGUUUGAGAACCCAACGACGGAACUCCACCUUCAAGGUUAAGAUCAUAUACUCAAACAGGAUUUACCAUGUGAUAAACUCGAAUAGGUACCGUUCUUGGUUCGUAGCGUUUAUAGAAAGUUGUGAGAGAAUUCCUAACGAGUACUUCGUCGACUUCCUGAGUCGAAAAACGUAAACAUACGUAGAGGGGGUUAUUAAGUACCACUACACUUUUCAAGGUUGUAGGAUGAACUACUAUUGAUGUACCGGUUUCACAGUCUGAAGCCUCGGAGGUAUGAUCGCGGUAGACUGUUUCUCGUUAAACAGUGUUACCAAGUUCCAUGAACGCCAAUGGAACUAGGGCUUAUAUACGUUUGUACGGUCAAUUGUCUGUUUUCGCUACACAUGUCAAAACCUCAAUAAGAAGAUCUCUAAGAGUGUCCGGUCGACGGUGACUUCGAGCUCCCCAGACUCUUCGUUUCUUCGAACAGUAACUAAAAGAACAGACGUUACUUCCUCUUAUUAGAUCUUCGACACAACCACUUGGUGCACUUUCCGGUUCUCUCGUACCUCAACAACUCUCCUGAACGUCUGGACCGAUUCUUUACGGAUCUGUACACACCGCUGUUGUCUGGGAGGUACUUUCUCCAGCGACUACUUGAGUUGUCUAACUCCUUUGAAAGUGACGUAGGGACCCAUGUUGAGCCGCAGCUCUGUCUUCAUCUUUUGGAAGAACCUCCUCUAUGAUGACCACCCAUACUUUAUCUUAAUUCACCAAUAGGAUACCCGCUCUCACUCUUGGUUGGGUAUUUGGGAUCUUCAAGGAUAAUACGUUCCACUCCUUUUGUACAUAACAUUAGCCAAUUUGGAUGAUUUCUAUGAAUACAAGGAAGAUAUGGAACAAUGUUACACAUUAUAGAUGCAAGGAAGACUUAGAACAAUGGUACAUAAUGUUGAAUAUUUAAUGUUUAGUGAAAAAUUAGAUAACUACACACUACACACA